AUUGAACGCUGGCGGCAUGCUUUACACAUGCAAGUCGAGCGGUAACAGGCCUUCGGGUGCUGACGAGUGGCGAACGGGUGAGUAAUGCAUCGGAACGUACCCAGAGGUGGGGGAUAACGCAGCGAAAGCUGUGCUAAUACCGCAUGUGAUCUGAGGAUGAAAGCGGGGGACCGAGCAGCAAUGUUUGGCCUCUCGCCUUUGGAGCGGCCGAUGUCGGAUUAGCUAGUUGGUGGGGUAAAGGCCUACCAAGGCGACGAUCCGUAGCUGGUCUGAGAGGACGACCAGCCACACUGGGACUGAGACACGGCCCAGACUCCUACGGGAGGCAGCAGUGGGGAAUUUUGGACAAUGGGCGCAAGCCUGAUCCAGCAAUGCCGCGUGCGGGAAGAAGGCCUUCGGGUUGUAAACCGCUUUUGGCAGGAACGAAACGGUGUCCGCUAAUACCGGGCGCUAAUGACGGUACCUGCAGAAUAAGCACCGGCUAACUACGUG
rnacentral:rRNA from 1 species